rnacentral:rRNA from 1 species
CAUAGAGGGUGACAAUCCCGUCUGCGACCGGUCGUGCGUUCAUCUACGAUACGCUUUCAAAGAGUCGAGUUGUUUGGGAUUGCAGCUCCAAAUGGGUGGUAAACAUCACCUAAGGCUAAAUAUUGGCGAGAGACCGAUAGCGAACAGGUACCGUGAGGGAAAGAUGAAAAGAACUUUGAAAAGAGAGUUAAACAGUACGUGAAAUUGUUGAAAGGGAAACGAUUGAAGUCAGUCGUGCUGGCGCGAAAUCAACCCUCUCGUCGAGAGGACACAUGGCGUGGCGAGCCUCAAAACCGUCACGAAGCGUGAACUCUUGGCGAAAAGGAGCACUUUCGUGUCCGCUGGUUAACAUCAAUUUCGAACGUCAUAAAAAGGCUGGAGGGAUGUGGCUCCUUCGGGAGUGUUAUAACCUUUAGCGGAAUGUGGUGGUCGGGAUUGAGGAUUGCAACGAAUACCU